rnacentral:rRNA from 1 species
UACGUAGGGUGCGAGCGUUAAUCGGAAUUACUGGGCGUAAAGCGUGCGCAGGCGGUUAUAUAAGACAGUUGUGAGAUCCCCGGGCUCAACCUGGGAAUUGCAUCUGUGACUGUAUAGCUAGAGUACGGUAGAGGGGGAUGGAAUUCCGCGUGUAGCAGUGAAAUGCGUAGAUAUGCGGAGGAACACCGAUGGCGAAGGCAAUCCCCUGGACCUGUACUGACGCUCAUGCACGAAAGCGUGGGGAGCAAACAGG